UAAUACAUGCAAGUCGAACGCGUCUCCGUUAAUGAUUUUAGGUGCUUGCACUUGAAAGAUUUAACAUUGAGACGAGUGGCGAACUGGUGAGUAACACGUGGGUAACCUGCCCUUGAAGUAGGGGAUAACACUUGGAAACAGGUGCUAAUACCGUAUAACAACCAAAACCACCUGGUUUUGGUUUAAAAGACGGCUUCGGCUGUCACUUUAGGAUGGACCCGCGGCGUAUUAGCUUGUUGGUAAGGUAACGGCCUACCAAGGCGAUGAUACGUAGCCGACCUGAGAGGGUAAUCGGCCACAUUGGGACUGAGACACGGCCCAAACUCCUACGGGAGGCAGCAGUAGGGAAUCUUCCACAAUGGACGAAAGUCUGAUGGAGCAACGCCGCGUGAGUGAUGAAGGGUUUCGGCUCGUAAAACUCUGUUGUUGGAGAAGAACAGGUGUCAGAGUAACUGUUGACAUCUUGACGGUAUCCAACCAGAAAGCCACGGCUAACUACGUGCCAGCAGCCGCGGUAAUACGUAGGUGGCAAGCGUUGUCCGGAUUUAUUGGGCGUAAAGCGAGCGCAGGCGGUUUUUUAGGUCUGAUGUGAAAGCCUUCGGCUUAACCGGAGAAGUGCAUCGGAAACCGGGAGACUUGAGUGCAGAAGAGGACAGUGGAACUCCAUGUGUAGCGGUGAAAUGCGUAGAUAUAUGGAAGAACACCAGUGGCGAAGGCGGCUGUCUGGUCUGUAACUGACGCUGA
rnacentral:rRNA from 1 species